UGAAACCCUGUGGGACCAGGGAGACAACCCACAGUUCCAACAGUCACUGGAUCCAUUCAUGGCUGGGUAAUACAGUAGGUGGAUAUUUGAUUUUAUAAGAAACUGCCAGCCCUGGCCCUGGAUCCCAUAGCCGCCGAGAUGUUGAUGCCUAAGAAGAACUGGGUUGCCAUUUAUGAACUCCUUUUUAAGGAGAGUCAUGGUGGCCAAGAAGGAUGUCCACAUGUCUAAGCACCCAGAGCUGGCAGACAAGAAUGUGCCCCAUCCUUCACAUCAUGAAGGCCAUGCAGUCUCUCAAGUCCCGAGGCUGCAUGAAGGAAGAGUUUGCCUGGAGACAUUUCUACUGGAACCUUAUCAAUGAGGGUAUCCAGUAUCUCCAUGAUUACCUUCAUCGGCCCCUGGAGUCUAUGCCUGUCACUCUACGCCACAGCCAUCCAGAGACUGGCGGGCCUCAGCCUAAAGGUCUGGAGGGUUAGUGAUCUGGAAGACUCACAAGAGGGGAAGCCAACAGGGAUACCUACAGACAGAAUGCUGUGCCCCCUGGUGCCGACAAGAAAGCCAAGGUUGGGGCUGUGUCAGCAACUGAAUUCCAAUUUAGAGGUGGAUUUAGUCAUGGAUGUGGUCAUCUACCCCAGUAAAAUUGGAGAGGAUUAUUUUGCAUUGAAUAAACUUACAGCCAAAAAAAAAAAAGAAAG
rnacentral:sRNA from 1 species